CGGACGGGUGAGUAACACGUGGGCAACCUGCCUGUAAGACUGGGAUAACCCCGGGAAACCGGGGCUAAUACCGGAUAACACCGGACUCCACAUGGAGUCCUGUUGAAAGAUGGCUUCUCGCUAUCACUUACAGAUGGGCCCGCGGCGCAUUAGCUAGUUGGUGAGGUAACGGCUCACCAAGGCGACGAUGCGUAGCCGACCUGAGAGGGUGAUCGGCCACACUGGGACUGAGACACGGCCCAGACUCCUACGGGAGGCAGCAGUAGGGAAUCUUCCGCAAUGGACGAAAGUCUGACGGAGCAACGCCGCGUGAACGAUGAAGGUCUUCGGAUCGUAAAGUUCUGUUGUCAGGGAAGAACAAGUGCCGUGCGAAUAGAGCGGCACCUUGACGGUACCUGACGAGGAAGCCCCGGCUAACUACGUGCCAGCAGCCGCGGUAAUACGUAGGGGGCAAGCGUUGUCCGGAAUUAUUGGGCGUAAAGCGCGCGCAGGCGGUUUCUUAAGUCUGAUGUGAAAGCCCACGGCUCAACCGUGGAGGGUCAUUGGAAACUGGGGAACUU
rnacentral:rRNA from 1 species